ACAGGUGCUGCAUGGCUGUCGUCAGCUCGUGUCGUGAGAUGUUGGGUUAAGUCCCGCAACGAGCGCAACCCUUGCCAUUAGUUGCUACGAAAGGGCACUCUAAUGGGACUGCCGGUGACAAACCGGAGGAAGUGGGGAUGACGUCAAGUCCUCAUGGCCCUUAUAGGUGGGCUACACACGUCAUACAAUGGCCGGUACAGAGGGUAGCCAACCCGGCGAGGGGGAGCCAAUCCCACAAAGCCGGUCGUAGUCCGGAUCGCAGUCUGCAACUCGACUGCGUGAAGUCGGAAUCGCUAGUAAUCGUGGAUCAGCAUGUCACGGUGAAUACGUUCCCGGGUCUU
rnacentral:rRNA from 1 species